rnacentral:rRNA from 1 species
UACGAAGGGGGCUAGCGUUGCUCGGAAUCACUGGGCGUAAAGGGUGCGUAGGCGGGUCUUUAAGUCAGGGGUGAAAGCCUGAGGCUCAACCUCAGAAUUGCCUUUGAUACUGAAGAUCUUGAGACCGGAAGAGGUAAGUGGAACUGCGAGUGUAGAGGUGAAAUUCGUAGAUAUUCGCAAGAACACCAGUGGCGAAGGCGGCUUACUGGUCCGGUUCUGACGCUGAGGCGCGAAAGCGUGGGGAGCGAACAGG